GAUGUACGCUGGCGGCGUGCCUAAUACAUGCAAGUCGAGCGAACGGACGAGAAGCUUGCUUCUCUGAUGUUAGCGGCGGACGGGUGAGUAACACGUGGAUAACCUACCUAUAAGACUGGGAUAACUUCGGGAAACCGGAGCUAAUACCGGAUAAUAUUUUGAACCGCAUGGUUCAAAAGUGAAAGACGGUCUUGCUGUCACUUAUAGAUGGAUCCGCGCUGCAUUAGCUAGUUGGUAAGGUAACGGCUUACCAAGGCAACGAUGCAUAGCCGACCUGAGAGGGUGAUCGGCCACACUGGAACUGAGACACGGUCCAGACUCCUACGGGAGGCAGCAGUAGGGAAUCUUCCGCAAAGGGCGAAAGCCUGACGGAGCAACGCCGCGUGAGUGAUGAAGGUCUUCGGAUCGUAAAACUCUGUUAUUAGGGAAGAACAUAUGUGUAAGUAACUGUGCACAUCUUGACGGUACCUAAUCAGAAAGCCACGGCUAACUACGUG
rnacentral:rRNA from 1 species